GUGAGUGCGAAGUCUGCUGUUUACCCACAGAGUUGAUCCAGCCCAGGCAGCAGUUGAACAAGCUUCUCACGUUUCCCCAUCAAUGUGCCAUCACUUUGUCCUUCAAGGACCACCGGUUAGCGAUGCCUAAUCAGUGCCUGGCAGGU
rnacentral:sRNA from 1 species